rnacentral:tRNA from 1 species
GCAUCUGUAGUUCAACUGGAUAGAAUACAGGACUCCGGAUCCUGAGGUUGCCGGUUCGAACCCGGUCAGAUGCA